rnacentral:rRNA from 1 species
GCAAGAAAACCGCUUAACCUUAGCCUAAUACUUAACCGAAGGAAAAAAAACCAAUUUGAAGGCCCAU